rnacentral:rRNA from 1 species
UACGUAGGUGACAAGCGUUGUCCGGAUUUACUGGGCGUAAAGAGCGCGCAGGCGGUCGAUCAAGUCGGGUGUGAAAGCCCCCGGCUCAACUGGGGAGGGUCAUUCGAUACUGAUCGACUCGAAGGCAGGAGAGGGUAGUGGAAUUCCCGGUGUAGUGGUGAAAUGCGUAGAUAUCGGGAGGAACACUAGUGGCGAAGGCGACUACCUGGCCUGUUCUUGACGCUGAGGCGCGAAAGCUAGGGGAGCAAACGGG